rnacentral:lncRNA from 1 species
UAAAUAAGCCAAGCUCCAAUUAUGGCAAAAACAGGUCCCUGCAAGCAUGAAAGGUGCAUCUGAUUGACUGCUGUAGCAUACACUAGUAUAUGGUUCUAAGUGACCUCGGUGAAAGAUCAAAACAUACCAUAAUGAGUACAUAAGUAGGCCUAGGGAUGGCAAUGGGGAGGGGAGGGGAGGGGACCAAUCUCCCCAUACCCAUCCCCGAUGUUUUGCAUAUGUCCCCGUCCCCUCCCCGUCCCCGUCAAAAUUGCUUGAGAGAAUCCCCAUCCCCUCCCCGAAUAAUAACAGGGGAUCCCCGAGGGUCCCCGGUCCCCGAAUAAUUAAUAGUCUAAUACAUUUUUUAUUUUCGAUUUUAAAUUAAUCAUAUUAAAAUAAACUCAUACCGCUAUUGUAAGCUCGUAACCAACUUUGACAGCACAUUAAGGCCUCCAAUGUGCUUGGAUGAAGUUUGUUAUGGUAUGAGCUCACAACUCUACCACUAGUGUUAAAAGCUGAUUCAGAAGCAACUGUUGUAAUUGGAAUUGCCAAAAUAUCUCUAGCAAUUCGAGCUAAUGUAGGAUACCUAUUAGCAUUUGUCUUCCACCAACUCAAAAUAUUAAAAUCUUCCAUCCGAGAUAUAACUUUCUCAUCCAAAUAUGAAUCUAAUUCAUCUGCAACAACUGCACAAUCUCCAUUGUUUACAUAAUCAUUAAAACCUGUCAUCCAUUUGGUUGCUUUCUUAUAAGAAUCCCCUGUAGAUCUAGUAGAAGAACUACUACCAGUAUAAUCAAAGCAAUAAACAGUUGGUGAAAACUUCAAUUAAUACUCUUCAACUAAUUCCCGGCAAAGGGUGACCACUUUCCCAACAUACAACUAUUUUGAUAUUUAUUAUUUUUAACAAUAUUUAUAAUUUUGUUAUUUAUUUAUUAGUAAUUUUAAAAAUAAAAAUAAAAUUAAAAAUUAAAAUGGGGAAAUGGGUAGGGGAUGGGGAUUCCACCUCAUCCCCGUCCCCUCCCCGAAUAAAAAGUUGGGUAAAAAAUUUUCCCCGUCCCCUCCCCGAAAAAAAAAUUGGGUAUAAAAUUAUCCCCGUACCCUCCCCGAAUGGGGAAAAUCCCCGUGGGGAUUUUUGCCAUCCCUAUAAGUAGCUAUGUGUACUCGGAAAUAUAAGCUUGAUGUUGUAAAUGGAGCUUAGUCUUUGUCACAAAUUCACAAUAUGUAUGCAAUGUUUAAGAUACCUAUCUUUAGCCUGUUGGAGUGUUUCGAUAUGCAGCUAAUGUUCAAAGGAAUCAUAUACACUUAUCUGAAUUCAAAGCCUUGGAGUGUUUCUAUAUUCAGCUAAUGUUUAAAGGAAUCAUAUACACUUAUCUGAAUUCAAGCAUUAUUCCUAACCAAAUGGGGUAACAUACCUGUACAAUAACACCUCCAUAAGAGGUGUUAAGGAACCAAUGUAUAUGAUCCAUGUUUAUGAGCAAAUGGAUGAAGCAUAAAAGGUGUUAUGGAGCAAAGAAGGAAAAGAAUAAUGGAAUGAUG